UGCAGUCGGCCAAGAAAAAUUCUGCCAUCUCCACAAAACAGGGCUCUCUGUUUGGCAUGAGUCAUUGUGUAAGCCAUCUUUCCAUUUGCAUUCUGCUUAUUGCACAAAAUGAUAUCACUCUUGCUCCACUAAUCUUUUAUUGUCCUUUAUACUGUGAAGCAACCAAAGAUCAAAAUGAGUCAGUUUAUCUGGCAGUUGUAGGUGUGAAGUAAAAACAGCUGAGGGCAGCAUUGGUCACUUUUAGGUAAAGCCUCAGUGAGACACACGUUCUCUACAACACACAAAGAAUUACUGUAUGGUACUGAACCUCUUUCAUUCAAACAGCUGCAUUUUGUCAUCAGAGACAGUUUCAAGGCAUUGCUCAGGAUUUAUUUUUCAUUUCCCAUAAUACACUGAUAUAACUGUAAUUUGAAACAACUGGUUUUGAGAUGUCACAUGGAGCACACAGCACUGUGCAGCAAAUAAUGUGAACUCCAGGUAUGAAAGCUGGCGAGAAUCCCCCCUUAAAGACUUUGCAUGAGAAGUGCUAUAGCGUGGCAGCCCUUCUCCAAACACAUGCUUAUACAAACAUCUGUCAGGCAACUAAUAAGCAGUCUGCAGACAGCAUCAACUAGAGUCUGAUACUUCAUAACCACAGUGAGUCUCCUCCUCUGAACAAUAUGCAGACUGGCGAGAGAUGAAGAGAGAAAGAAACACUUCACCAGACCUUUCACGACCUCUCAGUCUUGUCACUUGUGACUGAGCCAGGUGGCGUGUCUACAGGGAGUUCCUGUCACAGGCUGCAGCCCUGUCACGGCAAACCCCCACCAAGUGACCCCCGGCGUCUGCCACACAGCGUGUCUGCUGCCUGUCUGACAUUUUAUGGAGGAAGAACUGGACUUUCAGGAUAGGAAACAUGGAGGAAGUGAGUUUAAAGGCAGCUGAGGAGGAGAAUGACAGAUGCACACCUCUUUGUGAAGUGUCUUGGCACUUUCAUUUACAAGAAACACCUGCAAUGGAGAGAUGAUGCAGCUUCGCAGCACCUUCACCUGUUGCUACUCAUGCGGUUACUCUGUAUCAUCCACAUACACACACACACAGCCCAAUUUGGUCUCUAGUUGUCUACUCUGCACCAGUAAAACCAUUGCAUAGUGACAGAUAAACAACACCUCCAAUUUUUCCCCUUUGUUUUAGUGUAAAGAAGUACAUUCUGAAGAUGCUCAUCCAUCUACAGAACAGAUGAUGACUAGCCUGAGAUAUCCAAAGAAAGAUAAGUGCAAUUGCAAUGUUAUGUUUCUUCAUGUUUAGUCAGUCUACUACUCCCUGUCAUUACAUAUGCAUAUUUACAUCUCCACACCUGUGUAGUAAUGCUGACAUCACCACAUCAAACUAAAGUGGAUGCUAUUGAUGAAGCAGGUUAAGUUAUCCCCUAUUUUACAAACCAUUUAGAAAGUGUCUGAGCAACAGGGUUACACGAGUACCGUUUUAAGAUAGAAGUAUGAUGCAAAUUAUUAUGCAAUACAAUACAUAUUGGUGGUGCAGGAUGGGGGAGCCCCUCAGCGAGUUUGAAUGUUCUCCCAAUGUCAGCGUGGGUUUUCUCCGGGUACUCCAGCUUCCUCCCACAGUCCAAAGACAUGCAGGUUAAUUGGUGACUCUAAAUUGCCCGUAGGUGUGAAUGUGAGUGUGAAUGGUUGUCUGUGUAUGUGUCAGCCCUGUGAUAGUCUGGCAACCUGUCCAGUGUGUACCCCACCUCUCACCCAAUGUCAGCUGGGAUAGGCUCCAGCCCCCCUGUGACCCCCAACAGGUUAAGUGGUUAUGGAAAUUGAAUUAAUAAACAAUAAGUGUUGAUGUUUUUUUCCUGCCUGUUCUCACUCCCAACCCCUCAAAUACCUCUGCUUUGUUUUGCUGUUGUUUUAUUUCUGACGCCAAAGGCAACUACUGUAGUCCAUCCAUUCACCCAUUUUCAUCCCCUUUUCCAGGGCCUGGUCGCGGGGUCAGCAGGCAGAGCAAAGCACCCCAGACGUCCCUCUCCCCAGCAACACUUUCCAGCUCCUCCUGGGGGACCCCAAGGCGUUCCCAGGCCAGAUGACAUAUGAAAUCCCUCCAGCGUGUUCAUGGUCUGCCCUGGGGCCUCCUACCAAAACUAACUACUAUAGCACAAAGAGGUGGUAUAAAGGUGGAUGUGUCACAUGGCAUGACAUUAGUUAAUAACAACUUUACUUAUUUUAAACCACACCAUUAUGUUUUUUUCUAAACCUAACCACUGGCUUUUGUUGCAUACACUUAACCAGGGACUUUGUUGCCUUAACCGAAGGAAAUUAACCUAAUAAAUAAGUGUUUUACCUAUGUUGUAAGUUUAUUUUGAAAAAGACUGAAGCAGAAACUGUGAAAACAGAAAUAUAUUUUGAAAAGACACAAUACAUGUGACAAGUGUCAAUUGAGAUGUCGACAGUGAGCAUCCACAACUGACACUGGAGGGUACCUAGCGUGUCAAAUUUUGCCAUGUACAUCCACUAACAUAGCAGAUGUAUUUGACAAGUUGGGAUGAGAAAGGGUUGUUUUUUUCAGACAGCUUUAUUCUAAUCAGGAUGGAAGUAUCUCAAGCAGCAUUUUACAUGAAGUCAACUACUCAGUUUCACUUGCUCCUGAAAUCUGGCACCUCUUAGCCCUCACAAGUGCAUCAAUAUUAAGUGUGCAAAGUGAUCUAGUGGGCUGGAUUGGACCCUAUGGUGGGCAAUUUCUGCCCAUAUGUUUGACAGCCCCG